rnacentral:rRNA from 1 species
GUGAGGAAUCUUGCGCAAUGGGGGAAACCCUGACGCAGCGACGCCGCGUGGAGGAUGAAGGCCUUCGGGUUGUAAACUCCUUUUCUUAGGGAAAAUGGUGAUGGUACCUAAGGAAAAAGCCACGGCUAACUCUGUGCCAGCAGCCGCGGUAAGACAGAGGUGGCAAGCGUUGUUCGGAAUUACUGGGCUUAAAGGGCGAGUAGGCGGUGAAGUAAGUUCAGGGUGGAAUCCUAAGGCUUAACCAUAGAAUUGCCUUGGAUACUGCUUCACUUGAGUCAGCGAGAGGAGGGCGGAAUUCCCGGUGUAGCGGUGAAAUGCGUAGAUAUCGGGAGGAAGGUCUGUGGCGAAGGCGGCCCUCUGGCGCUGUACUGACGCUGAGGCGCGAAAGCGUGGGGAGCAAACAGGAUUAGAAACCCCGGUAGUCC